rnacentral:rRNA from 1 species
UACGUAGGGGGCUAGCGUUGUCCGGAUUUAUUGGGCGUAAAGAGCGUGUAGGCGGCCAUGUAGGUCCGGUGUGAAAACUCGAGGCUUAACCUCGAGAUGUCAUCGGAAACCAUUUGGCUAGAGUCCGGAAGAGGAGAGUGGAAUUCCUGGUGUAGCGGUGAAAUGCGCAGAUAUCAGGAGGAACACCAAUGGCGAAGGCAGCACUCUGGGACGUGACUGACGCUGAGACGCGAAAGCGUGGGGAGCAAACAGG